ACUCUCUGGCUGCAGGAAUCAUCUGUCACUCCUCUUCUCCUCUGGGAGCUGGUUUCUUCUUUGUAUCAAAAAAGGAUAAGACUCUGUGACCAUGCAUUGACUACUGUGGACUUAACAUCACCAUAAAGAACAAAUAUCCUUUGCCUUUGAUCAGUUCUGCUUUUGAGUCUUUACAGGGAGCCACCAUCUUCUCCAAACUGCACCUGCGGAAUGCCUACCAUCUCGUUAGGAUCAAGGAGGGAGAUGAGUGGAAGACAGGUUUCAAUACCCCCCCUGGCCACUUUGAAUACCUGGUAAUGCCUUUUGGACUCACCAAUGCUCCUGCUGUUUUCCAGGCCCUAGUAAAUGAUGUUCUCCGUGAUUUUCUCAAUCGCUCAGUUUUUGUCUAUUUGGAUGACAUUCUCAUCUUCUCCAGGAGUGCAGAGGAACAUGUUCGCCAUGUCAGACAAGUCCUCCAGAGACUCUUGGAUAACAAAUUGUUUGUGAAGGUUGAGAAGAGCGAGUUCCAUGUGUGGCGUUCCUGGGAUACAUUUUCGAGAGCGGGCAGGUGAGAACAGACCCAGCCAAGACACAAGCCGUUGUUGAGUGGCCCAGACCAACUUCCCGUAAGCAGCUUCAACAGUUCCUUGGUUUUGCAGAUUUCUAUCACAGGUUUAUCAGAAACUACAGUCGUGGUGCUACUCCCCUUUUCAAGCUCACAUCCUCAACUCUCCCCUUUUACCUGGACUCCAGGGGCUGAAGCGGCCUUCACUGAUCUUAAGAGACGAUUCACUUCUGCACCAGUCCUAGUCCACCCAGACCCUUCUCGCCAGUUCAUUGUAGAAGUGGAUGCUUCUGAUACUGGGGUUGGAGCAGUCCUCUCUCAAUUGGCUGCCUCUGAGCAGACGUUACACCCCUGUGCCUUGUCCCGUCGGCUGUCGCCAGCCAAGUGAAACUAUGACAUUGUUUGAGUCUGAAGAUGCUCCCUUGGCUUCAGCUACCAUCCUGCCUCCAUCCUGUGUGGUAGCAGCUGUGACCUGGGAGAUUGAGGAGGUCAUGAAGAGGGCUCAGCAACACCAACCAGACCCUGGUACAGGUCCAGCUAAUCGCCUCUUGGUCACACAUCGCAAUCGAUUUUGUUACUGGACUACCUUCUUCACAAGGUAAUACGGUCAUUCUGACCAUUGUGGACAGGUUUUCUAAGGCUGUGCAUUUUGUGUCUCUUCCUAAACGCCCCUCUGCUCUUGAGACCGCUGAACUCCUGGUGCUUCAUUUCUUUCGUCUCCACAGUAUUCCUCUGGACAUUGUCUCUGAUUGUGGUCCUCAGUUCACCUCCCAGGUUUGGAAGGCAUUCUGUCAAGCCCUUGGAGCUUCUGUGAGUUUGUCUUCUGGUUUUCAUCCUCAGACCAAUGGACAAACAGAGCGUGCCAACCAAAACUUAGAGGCAGCUCUCCGUUGUCUGCCAGGAAUCCCACCUCUUGGAGUGUCCAUCUUCCCUGGAUUGAAUACGCCCACAACUCCCUAAAAUGUGCAGCCACAGGCCCAUCUUCGCCGAUGUCGUAGGCUCUGGAAGGAUGCCCGCUCUGCGCUACUUCGUUCUGUUGAUCGCAAUUGUCAUUACGCUGACUGCCUUCGGACACCAGCCCCCAAAUACCAACCAGGUCAGAAAGUUUGGCUCUGUGCUAAGGACAUUCCUUUAAAGACAGAUUCUAGGAAGCUUUCCCCUCGUUACAUUGGCCCCUAUGAGAUUGUCAGUAUCAUUAACCCCUCUGUGGAAAAGCUCAAGCUACCACGGUCUUUGAGAAUUCACCCCACUUUUCAUGUGUCCCUGCUGAAACCUGUUUCUGUCAGUCCAUUAUGCCCUCCAGCCAUUCCGCUCCACCCGCCCGGAUUGUGGAUGACCCUCCUGCCUUUACAGUCCGGCAGCUGCUGGAUGUGCGUCGCAGGGGCUUAUUAUUAUAACUUUAGAUCCCUCUCUAAUCUGGGAUUUCUAUCAAAAGCAUCCUGACAAGCCUGGUAGGCCACCUGGAGGUGGCUGUUGAGAUGACAAUGACAUUGUCACGAUGACAGUCGUGACUGUCGUUCCCUGUGUUUCCCCAUUCUUGUGUUGUGCACUUUUCUCUGUCUGUGUAGUGGGUGUG